CGCAUGCGCGGCCUGCCUGUCAGUAACCACGUGAUGGACCCGGAAGCCCGAGGGCAGAUGCUAAAUGAUGGCCAUUUGACAUUUGCGUGUGUUCACUAUGGAUAGUUUUACCAAGUACAUUGAUUUGGGCCCUUACAGCUUACAAAGUAAAGAUAACACUUACUCCUCCAAGAAAUUGAUUUCAGCUAAGCAAAACAUUGAUACAGGGCUAUAAUGGAAGUGUUGGACUCAUAAACGUUUUAUGAAAUCAGUGUGUGUGUAUUACAGAAAUCAGAAAUGAGAAGUAAGAACAUGUCUGGGAGAGUGUGACAUAAGAAAAAUAACUUGUAGGCGUAUUUAACAGACAGCAGCAGUUCUCAGGAUUCCCCAUGUUAGAGCCUUCCUUCCUGUCCUCUGAGAAAUGAAAAUGAAAUCCAAAGACCCCCAACUGACUACACGAACCCCCUACUGGCUAAGGAGAUCCCAGGGUUGCCUUGAAGGCAGUUCUCAGCCAUGACAGAUGGGAGUCUCCCUCUGUUGCCGAGGCUGGACUGUACUGCCGUGAU
rnacentral:lncRNA from 1 species